AGAGUUUGAUCAUGGCUCAGAUUGAACGCUGGCGGCACGCCUAACACAUGCAAGUCGAGCGGCAGCGUGAUGUGUAGCAAUACACAUUGUCGGCGAGCGGCGGACGGGUGAGGAACACGUAGGAACCUGCCUAGUAGAGGGGGAUAACCAAUGGAAACGUUGGCUAAUACCGCAUAAUCUCGAAAGAGCAAAGCUGCAGCAAUGUAGCACUAUUAGAGGGGCCUGCGUCCGAUUAGCUAGUUGGUGAGGUAAAAGCUCACCAAGGCGAUGAUCGGUAACUGGUCUGAGAGGACGACCAGUCACACUGGGACUGAGACACGGCCCAGACUCCUACGGGAGGCAGCAGUGGGGAAUCUUGGACAAUGGGGGCAACCCUGAUCCAGCGAUGCCGCGUGAGUGAAGAAGGCCUUCGGGUCGUAAAGCUCUUUAGGCUGGGAAGAAGGGUAGUUGAGGAAAUGCAGCUAUUUUGACUGUACCAGCAGAAUAAGCACCGGCAAACUCUGUGCCAGCAGCCGCGGUAAUACAGAGGGUGCGAGCGUUGAUCGGAGUUACUGGGCGUAAAGGGCGCGUAGGCGGUUUAAUGAGUGUGGUGUGAAAGCCCCGGGCUUAACCUGGGAAGCGCAUCGCAAACGAUUGAACUGGAGUAGAUGAGAGGGUGAUGGAAUUUCCGGUGUAGCGGUGAAAUGCGUAGAGAUCGGAA
rnacentral:rRNA from 1 species